GUAAUACCCCGUUUCCUCGAGCUAAAUUUAAAAUUUAUUUUCGAACUUAGAAGUAAGAUGAUUCACGCCGGAUAUAAAGAAAAUGAAUUUAUUUUUAAUUCCAACAAAAAUAAUGUACAAAAACAUUUGUAAAUUUAGUUAUUGAAUUAAUAUGCAUUGCAUAUUUAUUUAAUUUAACAUUUAGCAUCUACACGAGCUAUUUGUUUAAACGAACACUGAACGAUUAUUACAGUUUUCAUAGUACAAACCGGAAGACUUUUUAUUAUAUUUUUAUUUCACUUUCACUCACACUUUUCACUCUCCCCACUCACACUUUUCACUCCCACCCACUCACACUUUUCACUUCCACUCACCCUUUCCACUCUCCCCACUCACACGAUACCUUGCCCCCCUUUCCCUUCCACUCACCAUUUCUCCUACAUACCAAGGAACUAAGUGCGGAGCUACACCCACAGAAGUUCAGCUAUACCACACGGACUCCACAAACUCAGCUGAAAGCUCUAAAGACUUCAUCUACAAAUCACUCUGCCCAUUUUACCUCCAUUCACGGCUUUGAGCAUCAGAAGGAUUAGCACUGCUAUUCCGAUUCAGAGAUAAGGUUAAACGACAGGCUUUGCCUAUUCAGGUGGGCAUUACUUUCAUAUAUAUCAAAUGAGUUUAAAUGUUACGUUCAAGCAAGUUAUUUCAUGACUAAAUUAAUUGAAGUUAUUUCAAAUAUUGUCUUGCCAUAAAAUAUUUAAAUUUCAGUAUGAUAUCUAUCUGAUGUGACUUUUAUUAUGCAAUCGAAUUCGGGUCCUGAGCAGUUGAUAGCUAUCCUGCCAGGGCUAGUGUACACCAGUGACCGUGAGUCAUCUAGCGGGUUGGCCGGUCAAGUGACCGUGAGAGGUGGCCACCUCUCCGGCACAAAGUUCCAGAUAUGAUAGAUUACAAGAGAACUUAGACUGCAGUCGAACUUUAAGAAUCACAAAUGAAUUUAGUAAGCUUGGGCCUUUUAGCGAAAAACUCCCUUGCUGUACUGUUUAAUUAUGGCAUGACAAUUUACAGUUUUGAAGCAUGUAUUUUAUACUUAGGCAUACGUGCCCACUGAGUACUUUUGUACUCAAGCCCUGCAUAUAUUUCUAAAUGUGCAGGUUGAGCAGCUGCCGAUGGUGAUGAAGUGACGAGCGGGAUUCUUUUGUCUUAUUAUGUAUUAAUGAACUCUAGGGUUACAUGUCUUCAUACAUGUAAUCAGAAUCAUAUUCCGCUGCGUACUCAGAAGUUUUAUGUUUAUUUGGCUAAGUCAGAGAUAUCUGAACUUACUAGUUAUUUGAGUCUAUACGACUAAACUUCUGUUAUAUUAUAAAUAUUCCUUUUAUUAAAUGAUGAAAUGUGAUCC